UUUGAAUUUAACAAGAAUUUAAAUACCGUCCGCCUUAGAAUCUUUGAUUUGCUGACUGUUAAUCUGCCUUUCAGCUCUCCGGUUAGGCAGUGGAUGGCAACCUCUGCUGCAAAUUAGAAAUGCCUCGGGUGUUUUCUAAACAAUUUUUGCAGUAGCCUUCACUCCCUGAGAUUCUGAUUUUGGUGGAUCUGGGAUGGGAUGUGGACAAGAGAAUUUUUAAAAGCUCCCUGGUUGAGAAGGCUAAGAAUCACCGAUUUGGGACCACACAGAGGAGAUGCAUCCACAGGUACACAUCAAGACUGGCGUCGGGUUUCCCUUUGGGACACAGGAAUGUGGCAACUCUAAUAAUGAAACUGCUGGUCAAGAUCUCUGGAAAUGGAAGUCUAAUAAUCCUUGUUUUGACAAGAAAGAUCAGGCCUCUACUCACAUAAGACAUGGAGCUGGAUCACAGUGCUUUUGCUCAACCGCUGACCCUGAACCUCUACAGAGGCCUCACAGGAGAAAUUUCGGCCAUCAUCUUCCUCCCUGGUGAUGUUCUCCUUACUUCAAAUCACUGCUCCCAGGAAUAAGUUCAAACAUCCCAGGAGUUCCUGUUGUGCCUCAGCAGUAAUGAACCCAACUAGUAUCCAAGAGGAUUCAAGUUCACUCCCCUGGCCUCGCUCAGCGGGUUAAGCAUC